GAUGAAGAACGCAGUGAAAUGCGAUAAGUAAUGUGAAUUGCAGAAUUCAGUGAAUCAUCGAAUCUUUGAACGCACAUUGCGCCCUCUGGUAUUCCUUAGGGCAUGCCUGUUCGAGCGUCAUUUAAACCUUCAAGCUAAGCUUGGUGUUGGGUGACUGUCCGCUUCACGGCGGACUCGCCUCAAAAUUAUUGGCGGCCGGUACAUUGGCUUCGAGCGCAGCAGAAACGCGAACUCGGGCCCGUCGUAUUGGCUCCCAGAAGCUAUCUUCACAAUUUUGACCUCGGAUCAGGUAGGGAUACCCGCUGAACUUAAGCAUAUCAAUAAGCGGAGGA
rnacentral:misc_RNA from 1 species